CGGGAUUACAGGUGUCAGCCACCGCACCAGGCCAGUUCAUUAGAAUUUUUAAAACAGGCUGGGCAUGGUGGCUUACGCCUGUAAUCCCAGCAGUUUGGGAGGCCGAGGCAGGUGGAUCACCUGAGGUUGGGAGUUUGAGACCAGCCUGACCAAUGUGGAGAAACCCCAUCUCUACUAAGAAUACAAAAUUAGCCAGGCAUGGUGGUGCAUACCUGUAAUCUCAGCUACUGGGGAAGCUGAGACAGGAGAAUUGCUUGAACCCAGGAGGCAGAGGUUGCGGUGAGCUGAGAUCGCGCCAUUGCACUCCAGCCUGGGCAACAGGAGUGAAACUCCAUCUCAAGAAAAACACAAAAUACAAAACAAAACAAAACAAAAAAACAGAACUGGGCCGGGCGCGGUGGCUCACGCCUGUAAUCCCAGCACUUUGGGAGGCCGAGGCGGGUGGAUCACGAGAUCAGGAGAUCAAGACCAUGGUGAAACCCCGUCUCUACUAAAAAUACAAUAAAUUAGCCGGGCAUGGUGGCGGGCGCCUGUAGUCCCAGCUACUUGGGAGGCUGAGGCAGGAGAAUCGCUUGAACCCGGGAGGCAGAGGUUGCAGUGAGCCAAGAUCGUGCCACUGCACUCCAGCCUAGGUGACAGAGUGAGACUCCGUCUCAAAAAAAAAAAAAAAAAAAAUCAAAAUCUAUAUAAUUAAGCAUUGUUUUUUAAAAAGUAGUUUAGGAAGAUUUGUAAAGCUUAUGAACCAUUGUAAAACCUUAUUUCUAAGGUCUGUAAGACAGUUUUAUAUGUAAUAAUGUGUCCAUUUCCAGGAAUUCCCCAAAUACUCAUACAGCCAUUGAGCACCCCAAUCCAAAAUUCAGAAUGCUUCAGAUAAGAACAUUUUUGAGUGCCGAUGUGACACUUUAAAGGAAAUGUUCAUUGGAGCAUUUUGCAUUUCAGAUUUUUGGAUUAGGAAAACUCAACCACUGUAUUUCUGCACAUAUUCCAAAAUCUGAAAAAGUCUGAAACCUGAGAAACUCUGGUCCCAAGCAUUUUGGAAAGGGUAUACUCAAUCUGUAUUAACAUAGACUUCUAAAUUAGUGAAAAUUUGCAUUGAAUUAAAAUGUGAAGUAAAUAUUUUUGUUUAAAUAUUGUUUAAAAUUUAGUCAUUUAAAAAUUUUGUGAUGUAACAAAAUGUUGAAUGAAAUAAUGCUUCUACAACUUAAAAUUAUUUUUCAUAGUGAACAAAACUAGUUGAAUACUUCUAAAUAUUCAUUUUUGUUAGUGCACAUUUUAUCCAGUUUUAGGCUUUAGGGAAUUGUGACCCUUUUUUUUUUUUUUUUUUUUUUUUUGGAGACGGAGUCUUGCUCUCUCGCCCAGGCUGGAGUGUGUGGCGCAAUCUCAGCUCACUGCAACCUCUGAUUCCUGGGUUCAAGCAAUUCUCAUGUCUCAGCCUCCCUAAUAGCUAGGAUUACCGGUGCCCGCCACCACGCCCAGCUAAUUUUUUAAAUUUUUAAUGGAGACAGGGUUUCACCAUGUUGGCCAGGCUGGUCUUAAACUCCUGACCUCAGGUGAUCCACCCACCUUGGCCUCCCAAAGUGCUGGGAUUACAGGCUUAAGCCACCGUGCCCGGCACUUUUGUUUUUAAAAUAAUAUCUUACUUUCAUAUGAUUCUUUCAGACUGUGGUAUGGCAUUCUGAAGCAAGUCUUAACAGAGCUAAAAAUCACCCUUACCCAAUUCUCUGCACUGACAUAUGUACACAAAGUAAUAUUUUAUUAUUCUCCUUCAUAAAUGGUUUCUUUAAUUGAACCUUUGAGCCUUAUACUAUUUUUAAAUUUCCCUUUAAAAAUUGAAUUACAGCCAGGCAUGGUGGCUCAUGCCUGUAAUCCCAGAACUUUGGGAGGCCAUGGCAGGAGGAUUGCUUGAACCCAGGAGUUGUAGACCAGCCUGGGCAAGAUAGCGAGAUCCUGCCUCUGAAAAAAUCAUAAUAAUACUUUAAUUUAGAAAAUACCCUGAAUUAGAAGUGCUUCAUUCCUCAUUUGUGUACAGCUGUUCCUCUAUAUACGAAGGGGAUUGGUACCAGAACCACUGCAUACCAAAUUCCACCCAUACUCAAGUCUCACAGUCUUCCCUGCAGAAUCCAAGUAUACAAAAAGUAGGCCUAUCAUUUAUAUGGGUUUUGCAUCCUGACAGUACUGUAUUUUCAAUCCUAGUUUGUUUGGGAAAAAAAAAUUGUUUGUAUGCCUGGGUACAGUAUCAUACCUGUAAUCCCAGCACUUUGGAAGGCUGAGGCGGGAGGACUGUUUUGUGGCCAGGAGUUCAAAAUCAGCCUGGUCGACGUAGUGAGACCCCAUCUCUACAAAAGAAAAAUUAGCUGGGCAUGUGGCACCUGCCUGUGGUCCCAGCUACUCAGGAGGCUGUGAGGCAGGAGAAUUGCUUGAGCCUGGGAGGUUGAGGCUGCAGUGAGCCGCGAUCACACCACUGCAUGCCAGCCUGGGCGACAGAGUGAGACCCUGUCUCAGAAAAGAAAAAAAAAGUAAAAAUUGCAUGUAAGUUGACCCGCACUAUUCAAAUUUGUGGUGUUCAAGGUUCAACUGUAAUUUCCUAGCAGCAUUUUGUGUGUUUGAGAAUCUCUUGACACUCUUCAAGUAAAUCCCUAAAUUACAACUUUGACAUCAAAAAAGCUAGACAUUCCUACAUUUUUGCACUACAAUACAUAAAAACUCCCAUGCUGAUCGGUUGUGGGAUCGUGCCUGUGAAUAACCACUGCACUCCAGCCUGGGCAACAUAGUAAGUAAGACCUUGUCUCUUAAAAAAAAUACAUUCUGAAGAAAGUUCUACUUAUGAAUACAUUUUAUUUAUAACAAACUGGUGAAAAUUUUAGACCAAACCAUGUCUUUCUGGGUUGUAGUGAUUAAAAAAUGGUUAAGAGAAUGUUCCCUAUACAAGGCAUAUGUUAUUAAACAUGAAAUUUAGGAUUAGUUUUCUCUUUGAAAAUUCUUUUGAUAUGCUGAGGUUACAGUUUGGAGGUUACAUUAGAGAAAGAAUAUAGGGAAGAUGGCAGUGGUAAAACAUUUCCCUGCUUUACAUUUUUAUAUUGGCAGUAUCUUGGUUUCAACUUUUCUAUUUUCAGCAAGAUAUUUGCAAGUUUUUACUUUGAAGAUGUUUGGUUUAUAGUAGUCCAUGCUAUACUAAUGCUGUUGCUGAGAUAAUUAAGUUAGAUACUAAUAUGAAAAAGAAUAUUUGUGUAAAAUAUUUUGAAGUUGUAAUUAGUGUAUAUACAAGUUGUUAAUACUUACGAAAAAAGGAAGCAUUCCCACCUGUAAUAAUUUUGUUAACACUAGACUAUCAGUAAAUUAUCAAGAAUAAAAACCUUGGUUUUUCUGUAAUAUUUGCCACUGAGCAAUUUUUAUUAAAAACCAAACAGAAGUAUUUACACAAGAACAAGUGAAAUUACACAAAAUGAUAAUGGGGAGAAAUUUCUCAUCUGGUGAUAAAGGGAAAAAGAUAAUGUAAAAGCAGAUUGCUGCUAUUUGCAUAAUAAGCACUUGUUGAAGAAUAAAUGAUUAAGUUCAAUAUUUUUGCUCUAUUUUAUACCUACUCACUUUGGUGGAAUUAGUUCUCCAUGUAAAGUAUCUUUUUAAUAGUAAGCACCAUUUAAUAAUGAAACAACUCAUAUGUUUUGUAAUCCUUAUGGAGAAUUACUUCAUGUGAUAAUUAUAGUCUCUUCAUGGAAAACAGUAAAAAUACUCACGUUUAUGAUGAUGGGCCUAGGUACUAAAUUCCUCAUUCAAUCUUUUUUUACCAAAUGGUACUUAAUAAAAUCUUUUACCUUAUAAAAAUCUAUUUUCGGCCAGGCGCGGUGGCUCACGCCUGUAAUCCCAGCACUUUGGGAGGCCGAGGUGGGCGGACCACGAGGUCAGGAGAUCGAGACCAUCCUGGCUAACACGGUGAAACCCUGACUCUACUAAAAAUACCAAAAAUUAGCCGGGCGUGGCAGCGGGCGCCUGUAGUCUCAGCUACUCGGGAGGCUGAGGCAGGAGAAUGGCGUGUACCCGGGAGGCGGAGGUUGCAGUGAGCCGAGAUCGCGCCACUGCACUCCAGCCUGGGCGACAGAGCGAGAAUCCGUCUCAAAAAAAAAAAAAAAAAAAAAAAAAAAAAAAAUUAUUUUCAAAGGAUUGUGCUAGUGGUGGCCUGAAUAAUAAAACAUUGAGAAGAAACAGCCUUUGAAUUUGGCACCCUGAAUGUGAAGGGACAAUAGAUAUUAAUCACAUAUUUAUUAACCCCUUCCUGUAUGAACCUAGUACUGUGCUGAGUGUAGGGAUACAGUGAUAAUGCAAAAAAGACCCCCAAUAGGCCGGGCGCGGUGGCUCACGCCUGCAAUCCCAGCACUUUGGGAGACCGAGGCGGGUGGAUCACGAGGUCAGGGGAUCGAGACCAUCCUGGCUAACACGGUGAAACCCCGUCUCUACUAAAAAUACAAAAUUUAGCCGGGCGUGGUAGCAGGCGCCUGUAGUCCCAGCUGCUUGGGAGGCUGCGGCAGGAGAAUGGUGUGAACCCGGGAGGCGGAGCUUGCAGUAAGCAGAGAUCGCGCCACUGCACUCCCGCCUGGGUGACAGAGCGAGACUCUGUCUCAAAAAAAAAGACCGCCCCCCCCAAUAUACACACACCCUGACUUUAAUGAGCUUAUUUUGCUGGGGACUCAGCCAAUUAAUUUCACAAAUUGUAAAACUAUUUCAAGAAAUGAGAAAAAGAGGCCUGUGGUGGUAAGCAAGUAUAUAAAAGAAGCCUUCCUUGAAGCAACGAUGCUUAAGCUGAAAUCUUAGGGAAAAAUAAAAGUUAACUAGGCAAAGAAGGUAGGGAAGACUCUUUCAGAUAGAAUCGCAGUUUGUGAGUUUGCUUGGGGAAAAAAAUUUAAAAAUAUAAAAAGAAAACCAGUUUGAAGUUUAGUGGUUAAUGAAAUUGAACAGGUAUGUCAGCACCAUACCUGACAUUCUAGGCCAUUCUUUCUUUGUCAGAGCUUUUUUGUUGAGAUGGAGUCUCGCUGUCUCGCUGAGGCUGGAGUGCAGUGGUGCAAUCUCGGCUCACUGCAACCUCUGCCUCCCAGGUUCAAGUGAUUCUCCUGCCUCAGCCUCCCAAGUAGCUGGGAUUACAGGUGCCCGCCACCACGCCCGGCUAAUUUUUUUUUGUAUUUUUAGUAGAGACGGGGA
rnacentral:lncRNA from 1 species